rnacentral:lncRNA from 1 species
CAGGUGAUCUGCCCAACUCAGCCUCCCGAAUUGCUGAGAUUAGAGGCGUGAGCUACCAUGCCUGGGCUUCUUUUUUUUAUUUUUAAAAAUAGUCUUAGAGAUGGGAUCUUGCUAUGUUGCUCAGGUUGGACUUGAACCCUUGGGCUCAAGGGAUCCUCCCACCUCAGCCUACCAAAACUGCUGAGAUUACAGGCAUGAUCCACCUUGCCCGGCCAUAAUUCUUCCUUUCUAAAUGAAACUUUGGACCCUUUACCCAUCCUUUUUUCCACUUCCCCACCCCAAGCCUGCCAGCUCCUGCAAACCACCAUCCUAUUUUCUACUUCUUGGAGUUCAACUUUCUUAGAUUCCACAUGUAAGUGAGAUCAUGUAUUAUUUUUCUUUCUGUGCCUGGCUUAUUUCACUUAACAUAAUGUCCUCCAGGUUUAUUCAUGUUGUUGCAAAUGAUGGGAUUUCCUUUUUUAAGACUAGUAUUUCACAGUGUCUAUAUACGGC